GACGAACCGUGCGAACGUUGUUCGGAAUCACUGGGCGUAAAGAGCGCGCAGGCGGUCGUUCAAGUCGCGUGUGAAAGCCCCCGGCUCAACUGGGGAGGGUCACGCGAUGCUGAUCGACUCGAAGGCAGGAGAGGGUAGUGGAAUUCCCGGUGUAGUGGUGAAAUGCGUAGAUAUCGGGAGGAACACCAGUGGCGAAGGCGACUACCUGGCCUGUUCUUGACGCUGAGGCGCGAAAGCUAGGGGAGCAAACGGG
rnacentral:rRNA from 1 species